GACGAACGCUGGCGGCGCGCCUAACACAUGCAAGUCGAACGGAGCUGAGAGAAGCUUGCUUUUCUUAGCUUAGUGGCGAACGGGUGAGUAACGCGUGAGUAACCUGCCCUGGAGUGGGGGACAACAGUUGGAAACGACUGCUAAUACCGCAUAAGCCCACGAUCCGGCAUCGGAUUGAGGGAAAAGGAUUUAUUCGCUUCAGGAUGGACUCGCGUCCAAUUAGCUAGUUGGUGAGGUAACGGCCCACCAAGGCGACGAUUGGUAGCCGGACUGAGAGGUUGAACGGCCACAUUGGGACUGAGACACGGCCCAGACUCCUACGGGAGGCAGCAGUGGGGGAUAUUGCACAAUGGGGGAAACCCUGAUGCAGCGACGCCGCGUGGAGGAAGAAGGUUUUCGGAUUGUAAACUCCUGUCGUUAGGGGCGAUAAUGACGGUACCUAACAAGAAAGCACCGGCUAACUACGUG
rnacentral:rRNA from 1 species